AAUCUGUCGUGUGGGCAUUUCUGAAUCAACAUUUUAUAACAUUCCCAAGCUUCAUGAAAGCUUUCUCCUUCCAUUUGUCUAAAUACAACAAUUUCUCUUCUCAGUUG
rfam:Gossypium raimondii chromosome 13, whole genome shotgun sequence.